rnacentral:tRNA from 1 species
GUGCCGGUGGCUUCUGGUGGAGCGGGUCGCAACCUGCGAUCAAAUAUAGCGAAAACGUGGUCGUAGCUGAAACACGGGUUCGAAUCCCGUCCGGCGGCU